UUUCCGUAGGUGAACCUGCGGAAGGAUCAUUCAUAAUAAGUGUUUUACGGCACUUUUUUAUAUCCAUAUUCACCUUGUGUGCAAUGUCAGGGUUGGUCUCUUUUGAUCAGCCCCAGACAUCAACUAUUAUCUCAACUCAUUGUCUGGAAAAUAUUAUGUGUAAAACAAUUCAAAAUACAACUUUCAACAACGGAUCUCUUGGCUCUA
rnacentral:misc_RNA from 1 species